CAGAGCGUACAAGUCCUGUGGACAAGGGGGACCUCCACAUGUGAAGAUUGUGGUCGAGUGGGACAAGGAAACCAAGGACUAUCUGUUCGGCCACACUGAGGAGGAGUACAUUCCAGAUGCAGAGAGCGUCUAUCUGCACAGGCAGCAGCAUCAUCAGCCCCAGGCCUGCACCCUCGCUCAGUGCUUUCAGCUCUACACUAAAGAGGAGCAGCUGGCUCCAGACGAUGCCUGGCGCUGUCCCCACUGCAAGCAGCUGCAGCAGGGCCGGAUAAAGCUCAGCUUGUGGACGCUGCCGGAUGUGCUUAUACUGCAUCUCAAGAGAUUUC